GCCAUCUCCCCCGCCACCGCUCGCCACGCCUGCAACAGGCAAGGGGCAACACACACACGCAUCCUCUUCUCUCUCCCUCACUCUCUCUGCAAUGGAGGACGAGGACUAGGCUAGCACCCUGCAGCCCAAAUCAGAUCUGGGGCGCACAAGUGUGAAUCGGGCCUUGUUCACUGAUGGUUCACCGGAUCCGGUCGUUCACAGGCAACCUUGCCCUCCAUGCCGCCAGCGCCGGCGGGAUGGCUUUGUCGGCGGCGUACCCGACGCGGAUGAGAACCUGGAGGCAUUCAUCACCCGCAUCUAACAGAAGUCUCGAAAGAUCGAGACCCUCCUUAAGCAGUUGAAGCCAGUGGAGGCCAUGGAAAAACGGCACUCGAGGGGUCGCUGCUCCAGACCCGCGACGAGCGAUGCAAAGUUUUUUUUCUUCUCAUUAUAUGGCUCGUCCCAUUUCAUUCCGUGGAUUCAAUCUUGCGUGUUGAGUGCUACUGCUAGUGCGUUCUAGAGAUAUAUAGUUCAUUGUAUUCCAUUGUUUUUUCAGAAGUCACUGAACGAACUUGACUGUUCUUUUCUUUUUAAACCUAAUCUGUAGCUCAAAGAUACAUCGAGAGUUUUAGUAUAAGUUCUUGUGUUAAAUCUUCAUCUCACGUUUAAGUAUUAAGUGAAUACUUGUGCUGAAAAAAAGAAAGAAAACAGUUCUUGUUCUGGCAACAAUUAGCUCAUAUUUUUCUUGCAGCUUGAAUAUUUUGAUGCCAAUGGUGUAAGUGUGUGCGUGUGGUAACCUGAGAGGCUAAUUUGGCUUAACCAUGUAAAGAAAAUUUCCAAGGAUUAAUACAUGAUCUGUGUAUUUUGAUGUCAAUGUGUAUCAAUUAUUUUGCUGAUGUAAUUAAGAGAACUAAUGACUCACUUAUCUAAGGUUAUGACACUUCUUUGUAUUGUUCACUUCUGUCCAUGUUUUAUUUCUCAAGUUUAUGGCACUUCUUUUUUUUAAGAAAUGCAUGUGCUAGGAAAUGCUAGUUUUCUAUCAUAAUAAAUAGGUCAUUGAGUUUAGUCCUGUAAGAAAGAGUUACAAUAAAUAGGUCAUUGAGUCAUGUCCCUUUUUUUAACAGGAAAGUGAUCUAAAAUAAACGAACAGUAGUGAUAUUGAGUCAAGUGACAAUGUCCUAAAUAUUUCCUACUUGCUUAUCUAUUACAUUUUCUAUAUAUAUGUUGUGUAUUUCAAACAUGCAUGAAACAUAUACUGUACAGCAAGGCAUAAGUCAGGACUUCUUAUCUAACUUAGCUCUGGUUAACCAUAGAGAUAAAGACUAUUUCUUUUACUUGCAGUUCCCUAAAACAUAUUGGUGGUGGCGGUGGCAAGGACAACCGCCAAGAGAAUGGUCUUCUACUAGAUGGAAGUGCCAUUGCCAAGUUCUCGCUCCCUUAUACAGGUAGACUACAAUUUUACAUAUAGUGCUGUGAAAGACUGGGCUGCUGGAAGAGAAAGAAAUUGUCGAGUUAGAUGAUGCUCUGCCAGAUCCAAAAUUACUACGAGAUGUUGGGCUACUAGGACUCCGUCAAGGACGUUGGCACCUUCACAGCGGCAUGGCAGUAGACUGCAAAACUAUAAACUUAGAUUUAUUUACAGCCCUGGCACAGUGUAGUCUUUUUUCGCAACCCUAUCGGCCUAUUUGGAUGGAAUUGAGAUUGUGAAUCUUGUAUUGAAUGAGUGGAUCUUGUUUGAAAAAGUGUGGAUUUGUUUGCUA